GAUGAACGCUGGCGGCGUGCCUAAUACAUGCAAGUCGAGCGAAUGGAUUAAGAGCUUGCUCUUAUGAAGUUAGCGGCGGACGGGUGAGUAACACGUGGGUAACCUGCCCAUAAGACUGGGAUAACUCCGGGAAACCGGGGCUAAUACCGGAUAACAUUUUGAACCGCAUGGUUCGAAAUUGAAAGGCGGCUUCGGCUGUCCCUUAUGGAUUGACCCGCGUCGCAUUAGCUAGUUGGUGAGGUAACGGCUCACCAAGGCAACGAUGCGUAGCCGACCUGAGAGGGUGAUCGGCCACACUGGGACUGAGACACGGCCCAGACUCCUACGGGAGGCAGCAGUAGGGAGUCUUCCGCAAUGGACGAAAGUCUGACGGAGCAACGCCGCGUGAGUGAUGAAGGCUUUCGGGUCGUAAAACUCUGUUGUUAGGGAAGAACAAGUGCUAGUUGAAUAAGCUGGCACCUUGACGGUACCUAACCAGAAAGCCACGGCUAACUACGUGCCAGCAGCCGCAGUAA
rnacentral:rRNA from 1 species